rnacentral:rRNA from 1 species
GACGAACGCUGGCGGCGUGCUUAACACAUGCAAGUCGAACGGAAAGGCCCUGCUUUUGUGGGGUGCUCGAGUGGCGAACGGGGGAGUAACACGCGAGUAACCUGCCCUUGACUUUGGGAUAACUUCAGGAAACUGGGGCUAAUACCGGAUAGGAGCUCCUGCUGCACGGUGGGGGUUGGAAAGUUUCGGCGGUUGGGGAUGGACUCGCGGCUUAUCAGCCUGUUGGUGGGGUAGUUGCUUACCAAGGCUUCGACGGGUAGCCGGCCUGAGAGGGUGACCGGCCACAUUGGUACUGCGAUACGGCCCAGACUCCUACGGGAGGCAGCAGUGGAGAAUAUUGCACAAUGGGCGGAAGCCUGAUGCAGCGACGCCGCGUGCGGGAUGACGGCCUUCGGGUUAUAAACCGCUUUCGCCUGUGACGAAGCGUGAGUGACGGUAAUGAGUAAAGAAGCACCGGCUAACUACGUG